rnacentral:lncRNA from 15 species
AUGUUCUUAUUUAAAUGUGUUGUAUUUGCUUCAUGUUGUAGAUCAAACCAGUCUGAGAGCGUCAAUCAGGACUCCGAUACAAAUCAUGUGGUCAACCAGAAUGAGGCUCAAUGUGAUAUGUACUCCACUCUUCUCCAUGGUGAUACUUCUCUCUAUGAAUCAAUCACACACCCUGAAGACACUGAAAACGGUGAUGAUUGUAUCUAUGAAUCAAUCAAAGGCUCUGAAGACACUGAUGAAGGUACAGUAUACAGUGGCAGCCACUGGGAAUCAGUGGGUCCACCACUUUGGUCCAGACUGAAAUAUAACUGUAUUUUACAGACAUUCAUAUCAUAUUACUUAGUAUCAUGCAGUUAAAUUGAUUAAUUUAAAUUUGGCUUUAUUUCCACUGCUCUGUAGGUGAUGAUUGUCUCCAUGAAUCAAUCAAAGGCCCUGAAGACACUGAAAAUGGUACAGUACACCAUUUUGGUCCAGACUGUAAUAUGUCAUCCACUGUUUUGUACAGACGAUAUGUACAACAAUAUGUACAACAAUAAACAAAAUAAUUAGAUAACAUUAGGGCAAACAUUUGUAUAGACAUCCAUGAAACCCAGGGGAUGAAUCCCAAUUUGAAUUUAUUGUUCAUUUACAUUAGUUUAAAUUGACAUAAAACAACUAGAAAAAAUACAUUUUGCAGGCCAAAUUAUAUUAUAUUUUCAUGCCAUAUUAUAUCAUGUCAUGCGACGGCGCGAGAGGGAUGGAGGGUUCAACAUGGUCCCUGGGUUGACAGUUUGAGAUCCCUGAUUCAGGGGACAGAUAAUGAGGGAUAUAAAAUCAUUUAACUAUAAAAUAUGUGUAUUUCAAAUGCAGAUGAUAUCCAGGAUGUGACAUAUCCUUCGAUUGAACUUAAAAACAUUUGAAAACAAGGUGAGUACUCCAAAUAAUUGCAAUAAAUAGUCAUUUUGAGAUGUUUUGGCCUGAAGUAGCAAGAAGUAAGUAUUGAUAUUUUUUCUGAUUAUCUCAACAGAGAAGCAACAUGAACCAGAGGAGAGCUCUGUUUACUCUGAUGUGAAGAUAAGAACUGCUGUCAUGCUCAGAGUUUGUAUUGAGAUCAUCACACAGGAGGUCAUU